UGGGUCAUAGUCCUACGGACUCAGCUUUUUUUCGGAGAAAAAAUCCUGAUCC
rnacentral:tRNA from 3 species